UACGUAGGGUGCAAGCGUUGUCCGGAAUUAUUGGGCGUAAAGAGCUCGUAGGCGGUCCGCUCAGUCGGCCGUGAAAGCGCCGGGCUCAACUCGGCGAGGUCGGGCGAUACUGGCGGGCUCGAGGCUGGUAGAGGGCGGUGGAAUUCCGGGUGUAGUGGUGGAAUGCGUAGAGCUCCGGAGGAACACCAGUGGCGAAGGCGGCCGCCUGGGCCAGUCCUGACGCUGAGCCGCGAAAGCGUGGGGAGCGAUCCGG
rnacentral:rRNA from 1 species